AGGCAAGAACGUUGCCCGACUAGAAAGGAUCGUUAUCGCUUCUCUUAUUCAAGAUGGACCACGAGACGGUAGGCGCAGAUGACCCCAGGCCUGAAUCACCUAUUGAUAACCCCCUGCAAUGUCGUUACUGUGGCAAAGUAUUUACAAGAAUCUACUACCGAAGAGAACACGAGAGAAUUCACACUGGCGAGAAGCCGUUUGCCUGUAGUAUUUGUGGGAAGAAGUUUAACAGCAAUGGAAGCUGUAAGAAGCACGAAAAAAUUCAUCUCAGGGCAGAAGAAAACACCCCCAUGGAAUGCAAUCAUUGCGGCAAAAUGUUUGAUGACAUGAUAGAUUUUCGUCAACACAUUAAAACGCACGACGGAGCCAAACCGUAUGGCUGUCAUAUCUGCGGACGCUCAUUUGGAUUCGAGGCCGUAUUGAAGAAACAUUUGAUGUUUCAUAAUGGUCAAAAACCCUUUCAAUGCCUUGUGUGUUCUGCUGCUUACUCCUCUGCUAAUGAUUUACGAAUGCACGUAAAAUCGCAUACCGGAGACAAGCCUUACAAAUGUAGGUAUUGCAACCACAGCUUCCCCAACAGUCGACGACGCAACAUGCACGAGCGAUGUCAUGAAAAAUCCGACGACAACAAAUGCAACAAAUGUGGUGCAACAUUUAGCAACGCAAACGCCCUAACAACACACGAGGCUAAUAGCGUCAUUCAUGGCGUCUGUCAGAACGUGGAUUCUGAUCAGGAUCAUGGCUACGAUGACCACAUCUGAGGUAGAUAUUGGGUUGCUAAGCAAAGGAUACGAAAGACCAAAUAGUUCGUUAUCGGGAUCUCAUGAUAGCGGCUACCAUACAUCUACCUUUAAUGGUAUCAGCGACAAUGUUUAUCCCACCUCGCUUCUUCACGCAACAGAAAAUGGCAUUGUCGUCAAGCAAGAACAACUGCAGAACGAAAGAUCGACAUUUUCUCCAUCGAGCCAGUCGUCUGACCCAGAUCACUCGAGUGUUUCCGGUAUGAGCAACAGAUCUCUCCGGGCGUCCGUGGAGUCGGACCACGUGACUAGUGCCGAUUACUCCGGGCAGUUCACCGUGGUAUCAAAAGAUUCCAAACUAGUCCAGACAGACCAAGGGUUAUACGCCGACUCACUGCUAUCCCAGCUGGAGAAUCUGAAGCAGAUUCACGAAUGUAAGAACUGUGGCAUCUUCUUCAGGAACUACUCCAUGUUUCUGGUUCAUAAGACCUUGCAUGCAGACCCAGCGCGUCCGUUUCUCUGUCAUCUCUGUGGCGAGGAAGCGAGGGAUAACGUGGAUUUUAAUGCUCAUUUAAUCUGGCAUAUGAAAUGAAUUAGAAUGGACAGAAAACUACAGUACUAUAAGUAAUACGAAACUGGAUAUCAAUCAUUUCAUUUUGUUUGCAUUUUACUUUGUUUCAUUUUCAUUGUAUAAAUUUGAAUUUAAAUGUGUUCAAACUCGACUACAUGUAUAUUGACAGAGCGAUUUGUCACCUGGGAAAGGCUAUCAUUCCAGAUUAAUAGCCUGUUACCUUAAUGUUUGUGGUUAGAGAACGCAGUCUAGCCAUGUGUAUAGUGUGUACAAGCUUUGUGUGUGUAAAACUUAAGCUCGAUGUUCGGUGUUUAGAGAGUUGAGGAGUCAAUAAAUUUGCAAACUUGA
rnacentral:misc_RNA from 1 species